AGUCAUAUGCUUGUCUCAAAGAUUAAGCCAUGCAUGUCUAAGUACAGGCCGAUCUAAGGCUAAACCGCGGACGGCUCAUUAAAUCAGAUAUAAUUCAUUGGAUCUGUAGUCCCCACUUACUUGGAUAACUGUGGUAAUUCUAGAGCUAAUACAUGCCUUUAGAGACUCUGACAGUAAUGGAAGAGCGCUUUUAUUAGUUCCAAAACCUUUCGGACCUUGGGCCGUAAGACUUGGUGAAUCUAGAUAACCUUUGCUGAGCGCACGUCCUUUUGUGACGGCGCCGCAUCUUGCAAGUGUCUGCCUUAUCAGCUCUCGAUUGUAGGUUAAACGCCUACAAUGGCUAUAACGGGUAACGGGGAAUCAGGGUUCGAUUCCGGAGAGGGAGCCUGAGAAACGGCUACCACAUCUAAGGAAGGCAGCAGGCGCGCAAAUUACCCACUCCCGGCACGGGGAGGUAGUGACGAAAAAUACUGUAGCGAGACUCCAUCGAGGCUUCGCUAUUGGAAUGAGUGCACUUUAAAUCCUUGCACGAGGAUCGAGUGGAGGGCAAGUCUGGUGCCAGCCGCCGCGGUAAUUCCAGCUCCAUUAGCGUAUAUUAAAGUUGUUGCGGUUAAAACGCUCGUAGUUGGCUCUCUGUUCUGGACUGGCGGUGCACCUUAGCGGUGCUACUGUACAGCUCCGAACUAAACACCCGCCGGCUCACCUGGGGUGCUCUUCACCGAGUGUCCCUAGUGGCCGGCACGUUUACCUUGAAAAAAUUAGAGUGCUCAGAGCAGGCUAACCUAACAGCCUGAAUGGUGGUGCAUGGAAUGAUGGAAUAGGACCUCGGUUCUAUUUUGUUGGUUUUAGGAACCCGAGGUAAUGAUUAAGAGAAGCAGACGGGGGCAUUCGUACUGCGACGAUAGAGGUGAAAUUCUUAGACCGUCGCAUGACGAGCUACUGCGAAAGCAUUUGCCAAGGAUGUUUUCAUUAAUCAAGAACGAAAGUUAGAGGUUCGAAGGCGAUCAGAUACCGCCCUAGUUCUAACCAUAAACGAUGCUGACUAGCGAUCCGCCGCAGUUAUUCCCAUGACCCGGCGGGGAGCUUCCGGGAAACCAAAGUAUUUGAGUUCCGGGGGAAGUAUGGUUGCAAAGCUGAAACUUAAAGGAAUUGACGGAAGGGCACCACCAGGAGUGGAGCCUGCGGCUCAAUUUGACUCAACACGGGGAAUCUUACCAGGCCCAGACACUGGAAGGAUUGACAGAUUGAAAGCUCUUUCUCGAUUCGGUGGGUGGUGGUGCAUGGCCGUUCUUAGUUGGUGGAGUGAUUUGUCUGGUUAAUUCCGAUAACGAACGAGACUCUAGCCUAUUAACUAGUCGGUGGAUAUAACAAUACUAUGCCUUUAAAAGCAUAGCAACUAGACCAUGAAAGUAGUUCUUCUGGCUCGGUGGUAGUUGUGUUUGUGAAGGGGGGGUCUGGGUGUGUAAGCCUCUGCGCUGUUGAGCUCCGGCUCUCCUGGUGUAUGCGAACUAUCCUUUUCCUUUUCCGGAGCAUCGCUUCUGCUGCUACUGGCUGUUGGACUGCGUAAUGAAUGGUGUCUAAAUCGCAGCUUCUUCUUAGAGGGAUAAGCGGCAGCAAAUAAAAUACUAGCCGCACGAGAGAUUGAGCCAUAACAGGUCUGUGAUGCCCUUAGAUGUUCUGGGCCGCACGCGCGCUACAAUGGAGAGUUCAACGAGCUCUCCCUGCUCCGACAGGAGUGGGUAACCUGAUUAAAGCUGUCCUUAAAGGGGAUUGAGGCUUGCAACUAUGUCCCAUGAACGAGGAAUUCCCAGUAGGCGCAAUUCACCAGAUUGCACCGAUUUAGUCCCUGCCCUUUGUACACACCGCCCGUCGCUACUACCGAUUGAAUGGUCUAGUGAGGGCAUCGGACUGGCGCUCUUGGAGUGGCCGCUCGUAUCUCUCUAGUGCCCUUCGGGGUCUGAGGUACGGGUGCCGCCUCGAGUCGACGGAAAGAUGUCCGAGCUGGGUCAUUUAGAGGAAGUAAAAGUCGUAACAAGGUUUCCGUAGGUGAACCUGC
rnacentral:rRNA from 1 species